GGAACUUUAACGUUAGCUUGUGAUGACUCCCACUCAGACACAAACACACGUGUUUACACAGCUGCUCCGAACAACUCGUGCUACCAAGGUUCCCCUGUACUAACAAAAAACCCAGUGUCGUGGCUGUUAUAUGACUGCAUGGAAAAGAAAGGGACUCGCAAAAGUUUGUCUCUUUAGAUACACACUACCGCCCUGGAGGCAUCUGCUUGGUCCCAGAUUCAAUCUGCAACAUGAAACAACUACCCCAAACUUACAACCAAAGUCAUAGAGAACUACCUUAUGCCACAAGAAGAACAAGGACUCCUGCAACAGAUGGUGAAGCCCCUACAGAGCCUUGAUCUCAGCGUGAAUCAGUCUGGGGUUGCAUGAAGAGACGGAAGCAACUGAAUCAGCCUAAAUCCACGGGACUGUGGGGUGUGGACGCUUUUAACAACCUACCUGCUAAGUACAUUGAAAAGCUGUGCACAACACAUAUAAAGUGUGAUUACACCUGAUACUGACUUAUAUUGUUUAUUUACUGGUCUUUGUACAAAUGUAAGUGAUAAAUAAAUACUAUUUGUCAUUA